UACGAAGGGGGCUAGCGUUGUUCGGAUUUACUGGGCGUAAAGCGUACGUAGGCGGAUUGUUAAGUGAGAGGUGAAAUCCCAGGGCUCAACCCUGGAACUGCCUUUCAUACUGGCAAUCUCGAGUUCGGAAGAGGUGAGUGGAAUUCCUAGUGUAGAGGUGAAAUUCGUAGAUAUUAGGAAGAACACCGGUGGCGAAGGCGGCUCACUGGUCCGAUACUGACGCUGAGGUACGAAAGCGUGGGGAGCAAACAGG
rnacentral:rRNA from 1 species